rfam:Triticum urartu cultivar G1812 contig234074, whole genome shotgun sequence.
CUUGUACUCCCUCCGUUCCGAAUUACUUGUCUUGGAUUUGUCUAGAUACGGAUGUAUCUAGACUCAUUUUAGUGCUCCGUAUCUACUAGCACUAAAAUGAGUCUAGAUACAUCCGUAUCUAGACAAAUCCAAGACAAGUAAUUGGGAACGGAGGGAGUAUAUU